GAUAGUCACUCAGAUGUCAUAGUAUUGAGGUAGAUGCUGACAUUUGUGUCCCUGAGAUCUCCUUGGGGUUGGGGUAAAGUAGUAUUCUCUUUUGUGUUUCUCUUGCCCAGAACCUCAGUUAGUGCUUGAUACUUAAGAUUCUCACUGUUGCAUGAGACUUCAUUGUUGAUUUACCAAAUUACCAUAUAUGGCUAUGCCUGGGGGACAUUAUGCUAGGACUAUCUUCAGAAUACCUCAGUUGCAAGUUGUUUACCACUUCCCAGUCCUUAUUUCUUGUGUUCAAAGACGAUUUUUCAUUGAAACCUCUUCUAGCUGAUUAUAGGAAUUAUUUAAGUUAGUGGUAGUAGAAAGAAGUGUGGACAAUAAAAAGAAGCAUAUUGAAAUGGGCUUAGAUUAAAGCCGUCCAAAAGACUAUCUGUGCUCAGCUGUGCCUAGAGUACUUUUGGAACAAUCUAUUUAAGAAAUGAUAGACCACAGAUCAAUGACGAUGACACCCACAUUCAUUCUUGAAAAAUAUGACUCAGUUGUACGUCGUGCACAUACACAGGAGCAGGAAUAGAUCACAGAUCACUGAUUGUGACACCCACAUUCAUUCUUGAAAAGUAUGACUCAGCUGUAAGUAGUGCACAUACACAGGAGCAGGAAUCUGAGGGGAAGAAAUAUCUAUCCAGUGCAGAUGCCAUUCACAGAGAUCCCCAGACAGUCUCCUAAGCAGCCUGAAUUGUUCUUCUUGUCUGGUCUGCAUCCCACUGGGAAACAGUCCAAGAUGUUAAAUAUUUUCACUGAAUAUGGUGGUCUACCUCCUUUGGCAUGAGGUUUUGGAGGGGUCUCUUCCAGUGGGACAUAGUUUAUCAUUUAUUUCUCAUCUGUACUGAGAAUUAUAGAAUGAAUCCUGCUUUCAUUCAGGUUACAGAUUUGUUAAAAUAAUUAUCUGAAAUAUAGCAGAUAUUGUCAUGAUUUUGCCAAAACAAAACAAAAACAAAAAAAGUGUUAUAAGAUAGAAAUGCUUAAUGAAUAAAUAACACAUUUUUCAGGACUUGUUUUCUCAUUGUUAUCAAGAGUUGGCCAUGAGGAAUAGGAUAUUAGGUCAUAUGCAGACUAGGAAGUGGAAAAGGCCAAAAGAUAAAAAUUCUACAGGAGACAGAGAAAGCCCUGACACGUCUAUCUUUUUUGCUUGCUUCACACAUGAAAUGACUCCCUGCUGAAUGGAAAGACAGACAGGUGGGACUGGCUUUCAUUCAAAUGAUGGGUGGAAGUGCCGCUGCCGUGUCUGAAGGUUUAAAAAGUUCUAAUGUUCAGAUGAAGAGAGAAGAUAGAAUAACAUUCUCCUUCCCUCAUAUGCAAUGCAGUGGGAAAAUCAGUCCCACUCUUUUAUUUAUGUGGUCAAAAUGUAAGUAUAAAAAUUAUUACCCAUGUUGUGAGUCAAUCUAAUUGCUGGAUCAUCUUUCAUUAGCUCUGGACGUUUAGCUCUCUGUGAUAUGACUGUGUCUCUCUGACCAAAUAAGUCUGUGUCAAAUAAUGGUUAAAAUUUCCACUGAUCCCCAAAAGUCUGAGCACCAGCUGGAUACAGAUGAUUGCCAACACCAGCAGUCAUGUGGAACUCACUAAUUAGGUAUAUGCAUCCUGGGCAUACAGACAUGCCAUGUCAAAGGGGUGGCUGUACCUACCUCACGAUGCCUUCGGAACAUGCAAUAACUUCAUUGCUUUACAAAAAAAAAGGAAAAGAAAAGACUUGGCUGAAAGCAAGAUUGCUUUUCGGAAGGGAAACUCUUUUCCCAGGGUGCACUGUGCAGACAAAACUUACUGCAUCCCUUCUGAAAAUGUGUCUGGAGCAGUCUUCCAAGAUGAUUAAUAGAGCAAGUAUUUCUCACAAGGGUUUGACCUUUGAAAGCACAGACAGACAAAAGGCGUAAAUGGUCAGAGAGGGAUGGAGAGCAUCAGGCUCACGAGACACCCGUGCCCACACAUUUGCCUCUCAUCAGGGCCUGGAACACACCAUGCUGUCCCUUGGAGAAAGCCCUUUAGGACCAUGAUACCUUUGAAAGGUUUUUGUGUCAUUGUAAACAUCUUUACCUUGAAGAUUUUCUUUCAAAUGAUGGAACUGCCAGUUGGUGCAUCGUAGGUGCAGAGACUACAAAAAAAAAAAAAAAAAA
rnacentral:lncRNA from 1 species